rnacentral:rRNA from 1 species
UACGUAGGGGGCAAGCGUUGUCCGGAUUUAUUGGGCGUAAAGAGCGUGUAGGCGGCCAAACAGGUCAGCUGUGAAAACUCGAGGCUCAACCUCGAGACGUCGGUUGAAACCGUAUGGCUAGAGUCCGGAAGAGGAGAGUGGAAUUCCCGGUGUAGCGGUGAAAUGCGCAGAUAUCGGGAAGAACACCCGUGGCGAAGGCGGCUCUCUGGGACGGUACUGACGCUGAGACGGCGAAAGCGUGGGGAGCAAACAGGG